UGGGGAAUUUUGGACAAUGGGCGAAAGCCUGAUCCAGCAAUGCCGCGUGUGUGAAGAAGGCCUUCGGGUUGUAAAGCACUUUUGUCCGGAAAGAAAUCCUUGGCUCUAAUACAGUCGGGGGAUGACGGUACCGGAAGAAUAAGCACCGGCUAACUACGUGCCAGCAGCCGCGGUAAUACGUAGGGUGCAAGCGUUAAUCGGAAUUACUGGGCGUAAAGCGUGCGCAGGCGGUUUGCUAAGACCGAUGUGAAAUCCCCGGGCUCAACCUGGGAACUGCAUUGGUGACUGGCAGGCUAGAGUAUGGCAGAGGGGGUAGAAUUCCACGUGUAGCAGUGAAAUGCGUAGAGAUGUGGAGGAAUACCGAUGGCGAAGGCAGCCCCCUGGGCCAAAUACUGACGCUCAUGCACGAAAGCGUGGGGAGCAAACAGGAUUAGAUACCCUGGUAGUCCACGCCCUAAACGAUGUCAACUAGUUGUUGGGGAUUCAUUUCCUUAGUAACGUAGCUAACGCGUGAAGUUGACCGCCUGGGGAGUACGGUCGCAAGAUUAAAACUUAAAGGAAUUGACGGGGUCAUAGCUGUUUCCU
rnacentral:rRNA from 1 species